AUGCUGUUCACACCUUUGGUUGAUUCUAUUGAGCGCACGAAGAUAGUUGCUGAGCUACACCAGGCCUGUUCUAGCUGUGGGUCCGAGUCUAAAGGUGUGAGGGUGCCAAAAGGAAUCGGCAAACUGAAAGAGCUGCAAAUACUAGAGGUCGUGGACAUCAGCCGAACUAGUUGCAAAGCAAUUAAAGAGCUAUGUGAGCUUGUGCAGCUGAGAAACCUGAGCGUGGCAACAGAUGGGGCCACCAAGCAGAAAUGCAAGGUACUCUGUGACGCCAUUAAGAAGCUCACUUGCCUCCGGUCCCUUGAAGUGGAUGGUUCACUCGACGGGGUGCAUGAUGUUUGA
rnacentral:rRNA from 1 species